GAACAGAGCAGAGAACAGGGCAGGGAACAGGGCAGGGAACAGAGCAGGGAACAGAGCAGGGAACAGAGCAGGGUACAGAGCAGGGAACAGAGCAGAGAACAGAACAGGGAACAGAGCAGAGAACAGAGCAGGGAACAGGGUAGGGAACAGGGCAGGGAACAGAGCAGGGAACAGAGCAGGGAACAGAGCAGGGAACAGAGCAGGGAACAGAGCAGAGAACAGAGCAGAGAACAGAGCAGGGAACAGAGCAGAGAACAGAGCAGGGAACAGAGCAGGGUAGGGAACAGAGCAG
rnacentral:lncRNA from 1 species